rnacentral:rRNA from 1 species
UACGGAGGAGGCAAGCGUUAUCCGGAUUCACUGGGCGUAAAGGGUGCGUAGGUGGUGAGGUAAGUCGGAUGUGAAAGCUCGGAGCUCAACUCCGAAAUGGCAUUGGAAACUACCUUGCUCGAGGGUUGGAGGGGGGACUGGAAUGCUUGGUGUAGCAGUGAAAUGCGUAGAUAUCAAGCGGAACACCAGUGGCGAAGGCGAGUCCCUGGACAACUCCUGACACUGAGGCACGAAAGCUAGGGGAGCAAACAGG